rnacentral:tRNA from 1 species
AAGAGAGAAAGAAGAACUGCUAACUCAUCCCUCCAUGCCUAAACCCAUGGCUCUCUUA